UCGAACGGCAGCACAAAGAAGCUUGCUUCUUGGGUGGCGAGUGGCGAACGGGUGAGUAAUAUAUCGGAACGUACCGAGUAAUGGGGGAUAACUAAUCGAAAGAUUAGCUAAUACCGCAUAUUCUCUGAGGAGGAAAGCAGGGGACCUUCGGGCCUUGCGUUAUUCGAGCGGCCGAUAUCUGAUUAGCUAGUUGGUGGGGUAAAGGCCUACCAAGGCGACGAUCAGUAGCGGGUCUGAGAGGAUGAUCCGCCACACUGGGACUGAGACACGGCCCAGACUCCUACGGGAGGCAGCAGUGGGGAAUUUUGGACAAUGGGCGCAAGCCUGAUCCAGCCAUGCCGCGUGUCUGAAGAAGGCCUUCGGGUUGUAAAGGACUUUUGUCAGGGAAGAAAAGGCUGUUGCUAAUAUCGACAGCUGAUGACGGUACCUGAAGAAUAAGCACCGGCUAACUACGUGCCAGCAGCCGCGGUAAUACGUAGGGUGCGAGCGUUAAUCGGAAUUACUGGGCGUAAAGCGAGCGCAGACGGUUACUUAAGCAAGAUGUGAAAUCCCCGGGCUCAACCUGGGAACUGCGUUCUGAACUGAGUGACUAGAGUGUGUCAGAGGGAGGUAGAAUUCCACGUGUAGCAGUGAAAUGCGUAGAGAUGUGGAGGAAUACCGAUGGCGAAGGUAGCCUCCUGGGAUAACACUGACGUUCAUGCUCGAAAGCGUGGGUAGCAAACAGGAU
rnacentral:rRNA from 1 species